GACAAGGCGGCACCGGGGCGGCUUAGCUCGCAUGGCACCGGUGAAUGACUCCCUAGCAGUUACCGUGAAAAAAUUAGAGUGUUCAAAGCAGGCAGAUCCAAUUUUCUGCCACCGAAUACAUUAGCAUGGGAUAAUGGAAUAGGACCCUGUCCUCCUAUUUUCAGUUGGUUUGCCGCGAGGACCAGGGUAAUGAUUAAUAGGGAUAGUUGGGGGCAUUAAUAUUUAAUUGUCAGAGGUGAAAUUCUUGGAUUUAUGAAAGAUUAACUUCUGCGAAAGCAUCUGCCAAGGAUGUUUUCAUUAAUCAAGAACGAAAGUUAGGGGAUCGAAGACGAUCAGAUACCGUCGUAGUCUUAACCAUAAACGAUGCCGACCAGCGAUUAGGAGACGUUGAAUACAAAACACCGCAUUGCGGUCGUCUUUGUGUCGCUC
rnacentral:rRNA from 1 species